AACGAACGCUGGCGGCAGGCUUAACACAUGCAAGUCGAGCGCCCCGCAAGGGGAGCGGCAGACGGGUGAGUAACACGUGGGAAUCUACCCAUCCCUACGGAACAACUCCGGGAAAAUGGAGCAAAUACCGUGUAAGCCCUUCGGGGUAACGAUUUAUCGGGGAGGGAGGAACACGCGUUGGAUUAGCUCGUCGGUGGGGUAAAGGCCUACCAAGGCGACGAGCAAUAUCUGUGUGUGGAGAAUGAACAGCCACAUUGGGACUGAGAAACGGCCCAAUCUCCUAAGGGAGGCAGCAGUGGGGAAUAUUGGACAAUGGGCGCAAGCCUGAUCCAGCCAUGCCGCGUGAACGAUGAAGGCCUUAGGGUUGUAAAGUUCUUUCACCGAUGAAGAUAAUGACGGUAGUCGGAGAAGAAGCCCCGGCUAACUUCGUGCCAGCAGCCGCCGUAA
rnacentral:rRNA from 1 species